UAGGGUUAGGGUUUAGUUGGAGAUCGGGAUAUGUGGGGAGGGGGAGGGUGCAGCUGAAGCGGAUCGAGAACAAGAUCAAUAGGGAGGGGACGUUCUCGAAGCGGAGAAAUGGAUUGGUGAAGAAGGCGCGCGUGCGACGCCGAGGUGGCCCUCAUCGUUUUCUCCACCAGGGAAAAGCUCUACGAGUACGCCACCCAUUCCUGAGCCAACUAAUGCUUGAUUCGAUCUCUGAGCUUCAGAAAAAGUUUCUUGUUAUUUAAUGUGCUCCUCGUGUUCAUUUCUGACGGAGUUGUGAAGUAGAACUUAAAAUUGUCUACUGAGCCACACCUUCAAUCUACGGGAAAAGUCACAGCUGGAACAUAACAAGGUUCUAGUGGAGGAAUCGUGACUUGUGUUCUCAGAUAGUUGUCUGUAUUGUGAAUUCGCGGGGGAUGACUUACCGAUGACGACAGGUAAUGGAGAAGCAGAAGGAAGCAAGACAGGUGCAUCCGCCAGAGUGGGAGCAACAACAAACAUGCCCAAGUUCCUCACGGCACGCUUCAUUCCUAUGGACUUAAAACUCUUCCUCCCUUAAACCUCAGGUACCUCUCUUACAAUAAUCCUUUUCUACCUACCUAGUUGGUUUAUCAGUUGUACUACAGAACGAUAGUGAUGAGAUUGUAGGUUGCUAAGAUAUUAAACCAGAUAGAAAAUGUUGGCUGUUACUCUCUUAGCGGGUACAACCAAAAUGUAAAUGCAUCGGGCAGUCGUGGAUACACCUAUCUGCUAGCAUAAUAUGAUUGGAAUCGCCACCUAAAA